rnacentral:rRNA from 1 species
CGGGGGGGGUAAGCGUUGUUCGGAAUUACUGGGCGUAAAGGGCUCGUAGGCGGCCAACUAAGUCACACGUGAAAUCCCUCAGCUUAACUGGGGAACUGCGUGUGAUACUGGAUGGCUUGGAUUUGGGAGAGGGAUGCGGAAUUCCGGGUGUAGCGGUGAAAUGCGUAGAUAUCUGGAGGAACACCGGUGGCGAAGGCGGCAUCCUGGACCAAUAUUGACGCUGAGGAGCGAAAGCCAGGGGAGCAAACGGGAUUAGAUACCCCGGUAGUCCUGGCCCUAAACGAUGAAUGCUUGGUGUAGCGGGUAUCGAUCCCUGCUGUGCCGAAGCUAACGCAUUAAGCAUUCCGCCUGGGGAGUACGGUCGCAAGGCUG